AUGCCAGAAUAGAUAAGGACUGGAAUCCUUAAUCUGUCUCUCUUAUGAGAAUUGGAGAGGUGUGUACAACUGAGCUAUGAGGACCGAAUGACAGCAGACCUUUAAAAGAUUUCAAAUGGAAGUGUGGAUCCCUUUGGAAAUUUUAGACAUAGCAUGUGGACCCCAGGUUGAAAACCACUGAUCUAUGUGCUGCAUUGGAAAACAUCCUAAAACAAACAAAAAAAACCCUCUGAACAAGGACCCUGCUCUUAAGACAGUUCUCUAAAUUGUUUCCAAUGAAUACAAAUACAUUGUGAGUAGUUGACCUCCUAAGUCUAACUUCACUGAGUUUCUGUGGACUUUUCUAAGUUCUUAAUGAAGACAGUGGAUAGAAUAAAAAGUGACUAUCCAAUAACAUUGAUUGAUAGUUCAUUAAGAACUGGAUGGACAAGAAAGAAGUGACUAUUAUAGAGACCAGCAAUGUAUGGAUAAAACAAAAAUAUUCUAAACACUUAAAUUCAACAUUACAACUUUCAUUUAAUAGGGAUGUAAGAUAUAGUAAAUGAUUAGUGCUGCUUCCUGCUAGACAGAAAGCAAGUCUGCCUUUAAGGUUUCAUGACUUUUAGAGUUCUCUAGCUGUACUUAAACACACUUAUGAAUAAGUCAUCAGUAUUUUUCCUCUGUGGUAUACAUUUAUUUCAUGAGAGGAAUUUUUAGCUUCUUGAUGAUAUCGUCUAGCCAUACCAUAUUACCGUAUAUUUAGAAGUAAUUAGUUUUCUGACUGCAGUACAAGAGGGUGUGAUGCAUUUAAGUUAAAAUUGAUUUUUUAAAAUCUACUGUAUGUUUCCACUGUUGGAAAUAAAGUUACUUUUCUUCAAA